UUGGAGAGAUUUAUCGCAACAACCUACCCUACAGAUGAAGAAAAAUCUCUCUCCCAGCAACUGUUAACUAUCUAAAUCCUUAGGGAAAGGCAGGGCCACAUGAGGUCCCCAUGUACCCAGCCAUGACUGAAAGUCAAUGGGCCUGAUCCUGUGCAGGUUUCCUGUGGGCAGUCACAGCUACUGAGGGUUCAACGGGCUGUCGGCUGUGCGAUGCACUGAGGACAGUGUUCCACAACACUAGCUGUCCUCCCGUUCACUUUCUGUUAUGGGAGACUAUAAAUGGAGAAGCCAACUCCUGGUUUCAGGAUACAGGACAAGGUAAAGAAGACGAGGAUAAUAAAAAGAUCCUGCAUGCCCCGGAUACCAUCACUCACCCUGGGAGCUUCCAGAAAAAGAGGGAGUGACUGGAGACACCAGGAGGGAGGUGGUCUUGGGGGCUGUGCUAGUUCUGAGACUGAGAACCAGGAGGGGAAGAAGAAGCACCCAGGACAGAGCAGGACGAUCUACUGGGGGUCAAGUCUUUCUGGAACGCAUUUUCAAGUAUUUGUUGCUGUUUUUAAAUAGACUGCUCCAAGCAGUAAGCCGUAAGUCCUAGUAUAAUAAGGACUCCGGAGCUGACAAAGGUUUGCUGUAAUUUCUGGCUUUCAAGCAUGAUCUCCUGGGUUAGGUUUGGGGACUAAAUUAAUUAAUUACCUUUCUUAUCUCUCCAACAAAAUACGUGACAAAGGCAACUUGAAGGAAGGCUUCAUGAUGGUUCGCCGUUCUGGGAUAUACUCCAUCAUGACAGCAGAUGCUUGAAGCAGACUGUCACAUUACAGCCACAGUGAAGAAGCAAAGAGGGUGCAUCUUCCCAUCGGUUGUGGACUCGACUACAUGCAAUCAACUAAAACCCAAGCUGUUGGCAACUCCUGUGAGGAAUUUUCUUAAUGGAAUUGUUUGAAGCAGGAAGACCCACUUACGCCAUGGAAGAAGGAGGCUUUCCUUUUUGCCUGCUUACCCUCCGUCUCACUGGCAUGCUUGCCUAGGCUGCUCCAGCGGCCUAUAUUAAAUGAACUUCUUCAGGAUUCCAAGGUAGCUAAAGAAGGGCAGCUCCCCAAAGAAUCCCCUGGGACUCCAGCACCAAAUUGGGAAUGCUGAGACAUCUAGUCUCAUGGACUGGACAAUGACCAUGUUAUCAGCCUUUCAAUUUUGAGACAACCAUUGUCAUACUACAUGUACCCCAGCCUAAUAAAUCCCUCUUUAGUAUGUGUAAACACACAUACACACGCGUA